rnacentral:rRNA from 1 species
CAGUCGCCGCGGUAAUACGUAGGGUGCAAGCGUUAAUCGGAAUUACUGGGCGUAAAGCGUGCGCAGGCGGUUUGUUAAGACAGAUGUGAAAUCCCCGGGCUCAACCUGGGAACUGCAUUUGUGACUGGCAGGCUAGAGUAUGGCAGAGGGGGGUGGAAUUCCGCGUGUAGCAGCGAAAUGCGUAGAGAUGUGGAGGAAUACCGAUGGCGAAGGCAGCCCCCUGGGCCAAUACUGACGCUCAUGCACGAAAGCGUGGGGAGCAAACAGGAUUAGAGACCCCAGUAGUCCCUGUCUCUUAUAC